UACGGAAGGCAGCAGUGGGGAAUAUUGCACAAUGGGCGAAAGCCUGAUGCAGCUAUGCCGCGUGUAUGAAGAAGGCCUUAGGGUUGUAAAGUACUUUCAUCGGGGAGGAAAAAACAAAACUAAUAAUUUUAUUUCUUGACGUUACCCGAAAAAGAAGCACCGGCUAACUCCGUGCCAGCAGCCGCGGUAAUACGGAGGGUGCUAGCGUUAAUCAGAAUUACUGGGCGUAAAGAGCACGUAGGUGGUUUUUUUAAGUCAGAUGUGAAAUCCCUGGGCUUAACCUGGAACUGCAUUUUGAAACUGAAAUACUAGAGUAUCGUAGAGGGAGGUAGAAUUCUAGGUGUAGCGGUUGAAAUGCGUAGAUAUCUGGAGGAAUACCUGUGGCGAAAGCGGCCUCCUAAACGAAUACUGACACUGAGGUGCGAAAGCUGGGGAGCAAACAGGGAUUAGAUACC
rnacentral:rRNA from 1 species